GGGUGUGACCAUACCAGCACUAAUGCACCGGAUCCCAUCAGAACUCCGUAGUUAAGCGUGCUUCGGCGAGAGUAGUACUAGGAUGGGUGACCUCCUGGGAAGUCCUCGUGUUGCACCCC
rnacentral:rRNA from 1 species